GUGAAUCAUCAAAUUUUUGAACGCAAAUUGCACUCCCUGGUAUUCCGGAGAGUAUGCCCGUUUGAGGGUCAGUUUAAAUCAAAAUCGGUGUGGUUUCUGCCUUUCGUGGAGACGCACCGGAUUUAGGUCGUCCUGUCUUCGGCUAAGUGACCUAACAUUUAGCAUGGUUUUUUCGAACGUCU
rnacentral:misc_RNA from 1 species